UACGUAGGGUGCAAGCGUUAAUCGGAAUUACUGGGCGUAAAGCGUGCGCAGGCGGUUUGGUAAGACAGAUGUGAAAUCCCCGGGCUCAACCUGGGAAUUGCAUUUGUGACUGCCCGACUAGAGUGUGUCAGAGGGGGGUAGAAUUCCACGUGUAGCAGUGAAAUGCGUAGAGAUGUGGAGGAAUACCGAUGGCGAAGGCAGCCCCCUGGGAUGUGACUGACGCUCAUGUACGAAAGCGU
rnacentral:rRNA from 1 species